rnacentral:lncRNA from 1 species
UUGUAGAAAAAUAACAGCAUAGAAUUACCAUUAUGAGCUUACUCUCGAUGUGCUUCUGAAUGAGAUGGCCUUCGGACUAGCAUUCUGCUCCAUUGCCAAUCAAGUCUGCAAUAUGUAUUAUUUUAUCUCUCAUGUGUUUAAAAACAGAAUUCGUCGAAAAAAAAAAAAGAAGAGAGAGAGUGGAGAAUCUCACUCUUCCAACAUAGCAGAGAAACCAUCAGAAUCAAAUUUAAGUGCCUGAUCCCAUUUACCAUUUCCUUGCCGUAUCAAGUUAUGAGUCCAAGGUAAGAUGUAUUAGCAUGUCGAUUAACGUCCUAACAGAAAUCUAGAAGCAAGCAAAAGUAACAAAAUACUCAUUCCUAGUUAUUUCAAAUUGGAUUGUUCCCGUACCAUACUUCAGCCCGUCCAUCGCCGUGUCAAAAUUAUCAUGCUUCUGCAAUAUUGAGAUUCAAUAAUAAUAAAAAAAAAAGCCAUUAGGAAGAGUAUGCAGAAAAUAUGAAAUAUCCCUUCAACUAAAAAGAGUCUAGAAGUGCCGUACCGUGCCUAGAAGCAAUCCCACCGGUCCUGAAGCUUUUUGGAGCAUGUGUGACAAAAGAUACUAUAUUCAAUGCACAUUAAUAUCACCAGAAAACUUCCAAAAGACAUUGAAUGUAUGUCAAACUAAUUCAUGGAUGGGUGAGAGUGAUCCAACAUUUCGUGAUUCUGGACUUAGAAUGCACAUCGACUAUAGGAAGAAUGUGGAAAUAAAUGUUAGGCGGUAUAUAAGAUAUUACCACCAUACAAUUUGGGAAGACUAUGUGCUUGGGACCACAAAACUCCUUGUAUCUCAGUUAACAAUAAAUUUUAGUACAGAAACUGUAUACUUUAAUGACAGAAACACAUAUUCUUAAGCACCAGCAAAGUAAACAAGAGAAAUGGAUCAUAUAUUCUCAAAC